rnacentral:rRNA from 1 species
AGAGUUUGAUCCUGGCUCAGGACGAACGCUGGCGGCGCGCCUAACACAUGCAAGUCGAACGGACGAGGAUCCUUCGGGAUCCGAGUUAGUGGCGAACGGGUGAGUAACACGUGAGAGWACCUACCUUUCAGAGGGGGAUAACACUUAGAAAUAGGUGCUAAUACCGCAUAAGACCACGACCGGGCAUCCGGAUGAGGUCAAAGGAGCAAUCCGCUGAUAGAUGGGCUCGCGUCUGAUUAGCUAGUUGGUGGGGUAACGGCCUACCAAGGCGACGAUCAGUAGCCGGACUGAGAGGUUGAACGGCCACAUUGGGACUGAGAUACGGCCCAGACUCCUACGGGAGGCAGCAGUCGGGAAUAUUGCGCAAUGGAGGAAACUCUGACGCAGUGACGCCGCGUAUAGGAAGAAGGUUUUCGGAUUGUAAACUAUUGUCGUUAGGGAAGAAAAAAGACAGUACCUAAGGAGGAAGCCCCGGCUAACUAUGUGCCAGCAGCCGCGGUAAUACAUAGGGGGCAAGCGUUAUCCGGAAUUAUUGGGUGUAAAGGGUGCGUAGACGGGCGCCUAAGUUGGUUGUGAAAUCCCUCGGCUCAACUGAGGAACUGCAACCAAAACUGGGUGUCUUGAGUGUCGGAGAGGAAAGUGGAAUUCCUAGUGUAGCGGUGAAAUGCGUAGAUAUUAGGAGGAACACCAGUGGCGAAGGCGACUUUCUGGACGAUAACUGACGUUGAGGCACGAAAGUGUGGGGAGCAAACAGGAUUAGAUACCCUGGUAGUCCACACCGUAAACGAUGGAUACUAGGUGUAGGGUGUAUUAAGCAUUCUGUGCCGACGCUAACGCAUUAAGUAUCCCACCUGGGGAGUACGACCGCAAGGUUGAAACUCAAAGGAAUUGACGGGGGCCCGCACAAGCAGUGGAGUAUGUGGUUUAAUUCGAAGCAACGCGAAGAACCUUACCAGGCUUGACAUAUAGAGGAAAGAUCUAGAGAUAGAUCCCUACUUCGUACCUUUAUACAGGUGGUGCAUSNNUGUCGUCAGCU